rnacentral:rRNA from 1 species
AUUGAACGCUGGCGGCAGGCCUAACACAUGCAAGUCGAGCGAGCGGCGGACGGGUGAGUAAUGUAUGGGGACUGCCCGAUAGAGGGGGAUAACUACUGGAAACGGUGGCUAAUACCGCAUACUAUCGGAUAACCCAUAUGGGAUUAGCUAGUAGGUGGGGUAAAGCCUAACCUAAGCGACGAUCUAUAGCUGGUCUGAGAGGAUGAUCAGCAACACUGUGACUGAGCCAGGGCCCAGACUCCUACGGAGGCAGCAGUGGGGAAUAUUGCACGAGGGGAGCAAGCCUGAGGCAGCCAUGCCGAGUGUAUGAAGAAGGCCUUAGGGUUGUAAAGUACUUUCAUCGGGGAGGCGUUACCCGAAGAAGAAGCACCGGCUAACUCCGUGCCAGCAGCCGAGGUAAUAG